GGUCCCAGCCAGCCCCUCCGGCCCUCUCGGCCUCCCACCCCAUCCCCUAGCUGAGUGCUCGUGGCUGAGCUGGACCCCCGUACCUGAAGUUCAGGACUGAGGUGGCGGCGUACGGGCAGCUGUGGUGUAUGUCCCCUUGGGCUCUGGCCACACAGGUCUCCCUCUUGAGUUGGGGUCCGUGAGCUGGACCCCUCCCUCCAUGAUGCCUUCCUCCCCCUGGGGCUAAGUCCAGCUCCUUUGCCCCCGACUUGUGGGCUGGGGCGUGUCCAACGUCAAGGGCCCCUGGCCGGGAACCUCCAGGGAGCACUACAGGCCCUGCCUCUGCCUAGCUGCCCACCUGCUCUGCUCUCCCUGGCGGCUCCUCCCCUGGCUCCCCCCUCCCCCUUGCUAGGUUGACUGCCCACCUGUGGCUCCGCUUUCCCCACCUGACCCAUUUCCCCUUCUCUGUGCCCCAGUCACUGGGCUUGGGACCCUCUGGGUCUCACCCAUCCAGCCCUCUACCUAACAGGUUGGUUUUCCUCGCUGAGCCCACACCUGUGGUUACCUGGCCCUGCCUGCUGCCCCGCCCACCUCCCACCUGCUUGCCUUUCGCCUGCCUCUCCCCCAGGGCAAGGAGGCCCUCCCCCUCAGGGUCGCCCAAGUUUCCGGUUGGUCUCCAGUGCUCGUGGCACCCCUCCCCUACCAUCCUCAGAGGCCUCCUCCCAUGGGCCUGGCCUCCCGGGCUCUGAGUGCCUGUGGGCUGCUGCCAGACCUCUGUCCUGCUCCCUUCCCCCCACCCCAAUCCCCCCAGACUGCUUGUCAUCAUGUCCUACCGGGCCUGCCUGUACGGCCGUCCUGUAUCCACGAGUCAGGCUCUGCCUUGCCCCCGGCCUCGUGGCCGGUCUGGGGGCUGCCACCUGGCCUGUCGCUUCUGUUCUUGUGCUUCUCUUCUUGUACCUUCUCCUGUCAUUGGCAUCCCUACGAGCCACCUCCCUCCACCGAAAACCAGGCUGCAGGUCAGCCCGUCCUCGACACCCUGGCGGCGACAGUCGGCUGAAGAACUGGACGGAAGAGGCAGGAGAGUUGCCCUGGACCAGCGCUCCUUCAGAACGGUCACCUGGCAUCUCAUGCCCACCUGGUGCCCCGUGACUCCCUCCUGGUUUGGGCUGAAGCCGUCUCGAAUCCUCCGUGGGACAGGACCGUGGACACGCAACCCCAGUACCCUCCAGCUCCAAAAUCGGCAGACUAGGAUGGAAGUGGCCUAGCUGGGGGGCCCUUCAAAGGGCCAAGGAGAAAACGCGGGCCAAGAGACCAGCCUCUCAAACGGGCUUCGAGCUGCAGUGACCUUCACUUACCUUCCCCCCCUUGAAAUGUCUGGAAAACGGAAUGGACAGAUUUUCUGUCUUCAAAGUUUCCGGCUAAACCUCUUCAAGUUCUUUAUUGUUUGGGACUGAGACACUCAGCAAUGGUAAUGGGUAGUUCCUUUUGUAUUUGCCUUGAAAGGCCAAAAUAUUUUUAUAUGGCUACAGACAAAGCCAUCUGUUUUAAGAUGAACUCUAUGUCCGUCGUUUCCCACCGGGGAGAUCGUGUAUACCGUGUGUGUCUCUGUGCACUCCUGGGUCUUGAAACAGGUUUCUCAUGGGGAUGGCCAUUCACAGGGGUCCACGGGGAAGCACCUGCCCCACCAAGGGGGCCUGGGGACUCUGACCCUCAUCUGUGUAGGAUGUGACCCCCGGGGGGGCGGCGGGUGUUCUGGCUGCACUAACAUGUACUCUGCCUGUGCCUGCAUCCGCCAUGCAUAUGUGUCAAGGACUGUGGGUUGUGUGCACCUUGGUGGGAAGAAGCUGGAAGGUCAAAUAUACUGUGAAUGUUCUAUUGUUCUGGUCGGGAGGUCAUUUUGCUGGGUUCUGUUACCUGGUCCAAAUAAGUGAAUGGAUGAAUAAACGAAUGAAGGCGUGAAAGAGUGAAGAAACUAAUAAAUAGGUAAAGAAGCGUACCCUGAAGGAGAUCCAAUUUGAGGCACAGGAGCUCGAUAGAUAAGUCAAUAAAGCAUUGAAUCAGUAUAUAAACAGGGCCAGGCAGGAACCGAUGUCAGGUCAUCGUGGACUAAGGGAACACGUACAAUUCAAGUAUGUAGCGCCUAAAGUUUGUCCAUAAAAGAAUAAAGCCUAGAUGAAAGAAUGAAUAAGAAGUCGAGAGGCAUAAACCAGUAGUGAGGGUGAGAUUAUGCGGCCCAUCAAAGUGAAAAGAUGCAAGAGAAAGGGCACGGACGGUUGAAAGGAAGAAGAAAAACGGAAAGACGCAAAAUAAUAACUAAGCAGGAAGAUCACUUUUAAAAUUAGGGGGUGAGAAAAUAUAUAAGGAGGACUAUGUCAGGUUAUUAAGAGCCAAGCAUUAGGAUUAGUCCAGAUACAUGCUCCAGCCAUAGAAAAAAAAGAGAAACAACAGAGGAAGAGUUCAAAAGGUAGUUAAAACCGAAAAAGGACCCAGGGGACCAGAGGUGAGAGUUAACUUUAACCAAAUUUUUUCUAACUCUGGGCACACAUAAAUAAAUAAACACUGAAAAGAAAGAAAGCCAAAAAAAGAAAAAAAAAGGAGAAAGGAAAGGAUGGGAUGAAUAAGUAGUGGACGUACGUGGACCCAGAUGGGAGCGUGGCAGGAGGGGUUUCGAGUCAUCCAGUCCUGGGACCUGAGGUCUGUUCCACGAAAGGACU
rnacentral:lncRNA from 1 species